CCAGAUGGUUGGAUGACCGCUGGUCCGGUGCUUGCGCCGGGCUGGAGGAAAGUCCGGGCUCCAUGGAAGCAAGGUGCCGGGUAACGCCCGGCGGGGGCGACCCCAGGGAAAGUGCCACAGAAAACAAACCGCUAAGGGCUGUCGGCCUCGGCCGGCGCCCCAGUAAGGGUGAAAUGGUGCGGUAAGAGCGCACCGCGCCGCCGGUAACGGUGGCGGCAGGGUAAACCCCACCUGGAGCAAGACCAAAUAGGGACGGCCGUCCGGGUGAUUCGUCACGCCGGAAGAUGGGUUUCCACAUCGUCGUCCGGGUCGGUCGCGCGAGGCGCACGGUAACGUGCGUCCCAGAGGAAUGGUCAUCCAACCCCGGCAACGGGGCGGACAAAACCCGGCUUACAGACCAUCUGGCGCC
rnacentral:RNase_P_RNA from 1 species